CUGGUCUGCUCCGUGUCCAAAGUUAUGUAUAGUCACUUUGGCACUCUCCAGGCCUGCA
rnacentral:pre_miRNA from 1 species